rnacentral:lncRNA from 1 species
GACUGGAAGAAAAGGAAUUGGAUCACUAAAUUGGUUCACCAAGUGAGAUCGAUGUCACUGUCAGUUAACUGACGAACUGAAUAUCGAAUUCAGUGAAGUUCAGACAAACCCGAGAAACAAUUCAAAAUUCGACUAUGGUUUGAUGAUUAUCUCGGGUCAGAGCCAAAAUAAAAAGUGAAGGGUUCAAGUUUAUCUCCAACUUCGGUUAAAACACUUGGGGACCGUUGGAUUGAAAAUCAACCGCAAUUUGGAUCUGAAGUCACGGGCGUCAGAGAGAAGAAAGGGGAGCUGUGACAGAGCGAACUCGACGUGUCGCCGCCGCCGCUCUCGGUCGCUCGUCAGCGCGACGGCUAGGCCACCUCCUCACCACGCAAGCCUAUGGGUAGACCACGGUGGCAACCAUGCGUGCGGUAAGUCGUUUGUAUAAUUACCGCUCCCGCACCGCCGUUUCACCGCCGUUCUUUUUACCGCCGCCAGCGCCUCUGUCCAAGCCAUCGCCGCCAGGUAAAAUUCCACCACCACACCGCACCUCCCGUCGAUUCCCUCCGUCCAC